rnacentral:rRNA from 1 species
UGGCGAGUGGCGAACGGGUGAGUAAUGUAUCGGAACGUGCCUAGUAGCGGGGGAUAACUACGCGAAAGCGUAGCUAAUACCGCAUACGCCCUACGGGGAAAGGGGGGAUCGCAAGACCUCUCACUAUUGGAGCGGCCGAUAUCGGAUUAGCUAGUUGGUGAGGUAACGGCUCACCAAGGCGACGAUCCGUAGCUGGUUUGAGAGGACGACCAGCCACACUGGGACUGAGACACGGCCCAG